GGGACAGCCUACUGGAAAGAGGGACAAGUUAGCCAUUCAAACAAUUGGCUUUUUGCCUGCUUCUUUUCCAAAUAAGAAGGCAGGGGCUGCCGCGAGGGGCAAAGGGUUUUUGUGAACCACAGUGGUGGUAAGACCCGAGUUUCUCCAGCUCCUACCUGUUUUCAGCUGACUGGGAGAGCAAGGAUGGUAGACGCUUUCUGUGCCACCUGGAAGCUGACGGACAGUCAGAAUUUUGAUGAAUACAUGAAGGCUCUGGGAGUCGGCUUUGCCACUAGGCAAGUGGGCAAUGUGACCAAGCCAACAGUGAUAAUCAGUCAGGAAGGCGGCAAAGUGGUGAUCAGGACACAGUGCACAUUCAAGAACACGGAGAUCAGUUUCCAGCUGGGAGAAGAGUUCGAAGAAACCAGCAUCGAUGACAGGAACUGUAAGUCUGUUGUUCGGUUGGACGGAAAUAAGCUCAUUCACGUACAGAAAUGGGAUGGCAAAGAAACAAAGUUUGUAAGAGAAAUUAAGGACAGCAAAAUGGUUGUGCUGGUUUGCACUUGUGGUAUACACAGAAGUGUGACUACAUUUUAUUACUUGUGAAAUGCUCUUCAGUCAUGUUCUCAACCUAUAAUAUAAAGCAAGGCAGACAAUGCUAUAUUUAGUCCACUGAUGGAGAAAAGCCAGUAUUAAAGUUGCAAGGCUAAGUUCUUGUGUGGUGUUCUCUUUUUGCCUGAUCUGGUAAACCCAGAUCUUAUAAGAAGUCCUCAGAGAAAGAUCACAAACCCAAUCUUUUCCUGAUAAGAAACCUGUUCAGCAAGGCUCUGAGGAUUCCUGGAGAUACCUACACUAUGCUAAUAAAAUGUCUUAACUUUCCACCCAUGGCCUUUGACUUUACCUGGAGCUUUUUCCCCACCCACAGGUAAUUAAGUACUGCCUUCCCCUCUUAUGAUAGGGCUGUUUUGGUACAUGUAGAUUAAGUAUCCCUGGCAUCCCUGACCCCUUUGAAUCAAACACACUCACCCUCAUCCCUCCCAUUGCCCAAGGUUUAUAUUGUCCUUGAUUUCACAUGAAAUAAACACACUCACUUCAA